rnacentral:rRNA from 1 species
GGUAUACCAACGUGUAGGUGGUUGCGCCGCGUUGUCCUUGUACGCCGGCUCAAUCCUACCGCGGUGCUCUUUACCGAGUGUCGAGGUAGGCCGACACUGUUUACUUUGAACAAAUUAGAGUGCUUAAAGCAGGCUCUUAAAUCAGCCUGAAUAGUGGUGCAUGGAAUAAUGGAACAGGACCUUGGUUCUAUUUUGUUGGUUUUCGGAAUCCAAGGUAAUGAUCAAU